rnacentral:tRNA from 1 species
GAUUCCAUAGCUCAGUUGGCUGAGCGAUAUACUUUUAAUGAUGGGGCUUGGGUUCGGGUUCCAACGGGAUCA